CACGUAAGGGGCAAGCGUUGUUCGGAUUUAUUGGGCGUAAAGGGCGCGUAGGCGGGUAAUUAAGUUGGAUGUUUAACCCUCAGGCUCAACCUGAGGCCGGCAUACAAUACUGAUUAUCUUGAGUAUCGGAGGGGAAAGUGGAAUUCUUGGUGUAGCGGUGGAAUGCGUAGAUAUCAAGAGGAACACCAGUGGCGAAGGCGACUUUCUGGCCGAAUACUGACGCUAAAGCGCGAAAGCGUGGGGAGCAAACAGG
rnacentral:rRNA from 1 species